GACGAGCAACGAGAAUACAUGAACGAUUAUAUUCUAUUCUAGCUGAAGAAAGCAGGAAGUAACUAUUUUUAUCACAUAUCUAACAACUAUCCCAACGAGUUAUAUUAGACAUCCCCAUAGCUAGAUUUCAUCGGAAUGCUAACUUUACGAUCAAUUUCAGCGAUUUGAUACUCUUGCUCAUGCUAUAAAACACUAUGGACAACUGAUAGUUUGAAAAUCGCUCAUACAACACAUUAACAAGAAGUAGCUAUGUAUCAUGAAGCAAAACAGAGAGAAAAAAAAAGUUCUACAUUUAGGUGAUUCAAAGACCAAAAAGUUGAGGAAAACGAGCUUCAAAAAUUCGUAUAACUGAUCACCAAAACAAUCGCAUAUCCAUUAAGAUCACAAAUAUAAUAAUGACUAAGUAUUAAGGGUAGAAUUUCACAGUAAAUCAAUAAAUUCAUAAACUUGACACCUGAAAGAAAUUUAUGUACCAAACUAAAUUUUUGGAAUCAACAACUACGUAAAAUUGGAAGGGAUUCACAUAAAAC
rnacentral:lncRNA from 1 species